GCCUUGCUGCCUGCCCCGGCACUGGGAGUGCGUUACUACCUGCCCAUCUGUAGGAAAUCAAUCAGGAGCAUCUGUUACAAAAAGCUAGAGGUUAAGAGAUGUAGCUCCCUUAGAGAUAAUAUGAUGUGAGUAGAUCAGAGGAGAAGCAAGGGUGAAGUGCCCUUUUUCGUGAUUCUGAAGGUGUGUGUAUUUUAUUGGCCUAAUAAUUUAAGUAUUUUAACAUUUUCCAUGAAAGAGAUGUUAUGGAUUGUUGUGCGGGUGCAAUGAUUUCUCUGUGCUGCAGGUGUUGGAGCACCUUGGGUUGGAUGUGCUGUGUGCAGCCCUGUGCUACUGUAGCUGAGGGGCUUUCAGAACCCCCCCCCGACAGUCUGGGCCUCAGGGACAGCUACCCAGCAUCUCAUGGAGAUGCCUGUACUGAUAUGGCCUCAUCUGUCUGAGUUCUCUGUAAGUCAAAGUGGGAUUUCUGCUAUUGUGCUGAAGCCAUGGGUUCCUCCUUCCUUGUUCUGAUGUUUCUUUUCAAAGUAUUUGGUUAUGUCAGAAAAGCAGCUAUCAAAGAAUGAGAUAUAUCUCCCUCUCCAUAAAUUCUAUUAAUCUGCAUGUUUGAGCAGUCUAGUUGGUUCUCCCUCUGUAUAUCUUCUUGUACAAUCUUCUCGUAUCUUCUCUGUAAAAGAGAAGACAGGAUUCUUCCUCCUCCCCCAAAGUAAGUCCCUGAAGUAUUUAGUAUGCCUGAGAAAGGUGACUAAAAAGACUUGUGUUGGUUUUUUAGGGGAUACCUGAAAUAGUUAAGGACUGUAUUACCCUGGUCAUAUACUUGUUUAUAUUCUGGCUGCCUAUGUUUUAACCUGCUGUAUGGGAAUUGUUAGGUCAGGGCCAGAACCAGUGAUUGAGUACCAGGUGAGAAGAUGUGAGUAACCGAGGGAGCACAGGUGCAAGCUGUGCACCUGAGUGACUGAAAGGAGUAGACCCUGGGUCCACCUUUCAUCACCAUUUAAGGGUUAGCAGCUGAGCGUGCAAAUGUAUUUAACAAUGUGGCUGCAAGAGGAGAAGAGCAAGAGGAAGAUUUCAGGGCAGUGUAUGAAGGAACUUCAGAUAUGAACAGAAGAGAGGAUAAUUGCGUGUAUGCUCAUAGAAGAAGGUAAAAAUGUUGAGUUGAGUUGUUUUUGUAAACCACUUUGCAAACUCAUACUGAUUUCUUGUGCACUAUGGAUAA
ensembl:lncRNA